rnacentral:tRNA from 1 species
GGUCCAGUGGAACAACGGCAGUUCGUCACUUUCCGGAGGUGUAGGUUGCAGGUUCGAGUCCUGCCUGGAUCG